rnacentral:rRNA from 1 species
GACGAACCGUCCAAACGUUAUUCGGAAUCACUGGGCUUACAGAGUUCGUAGGCGGUCUGGAAAGUUGGGUGUGAAAUCCCUCGGCUCAACCGAGGAACUGCGCUUGAAACUACCAGACUCGAGGGAGAUAGAGGAAAGCGGAACUGAUGGUGGAGCGGUGAAAUGCGUUGAUAUCAUCAGGAACACCGGUGGCGAAGGCGGCUUUCUGGGUCUUACCUGACGCUGAGGAACGAAAGCCAGGGGAGCAAACGGG